CCUAGAGUUGUAGGCUUUGCCUGCUAUCUCUUACCCAUGUCUUUUGAGUACCUUACGUUUCCUCGGCGGGUUCCGCCCACCGAUUGGACAAAUUUAAACCAUUUGCAGUUGCAAUCAGCGUCUGAAAAAACUUAAUAGUUA
rnacentral:misc_RNA from 1 species